rnacentral:rRNA from 1 species
UGAGGAAUAUUGGUCAAUGGGGGCAACCCUGAACCAGCCAAGUCGCGUGAAGGAUGAAGGUCUUAUGGAUUGUAAACUUCUUUUACACGGGAAUAAAGCGGGGGACGUGUCCCUCUUUGCAUGUACCGUGUGAAUAAGGAUCGGCUAACUCCGUGCCAGCAGCCGCGGUAAUACGGAGGAUCCGAGCGUUAUCCGGAUUUAUUGGGUUUAAAGGGUGCGCAGGCGGGAUGUUAAGUCGGCGGUGAAAUUUUGCAGCUCAACUGUAAAAGUGCCUUCGCUACUGGCCGUCUUGAGUGUGGAUGAAGUAGGCGGAAUUUGUGGUGUAGCGGUGAAAUGCUUAGAUAUCACGAGGAACUCCGAUUGCGCAGGCAGCUUACUAAGCCACAACUGACGCUCAUGCACGAAGGCGUGGGGAUCAAACA